AGUGAACGCUGGCGGUAGGCCUAACACAUGCAAGUCGAACGGCAGCACAGUAAGAGCUUGCUCUUACGGGUGGCGAGUGGCAGACGGGUGAGGAAUACAUCGGAAUCUACUUUUUCGUGGGGGAUAACGUAGGGAAACUUACGCUAAUACCGCAUACGACCUACGGGUGGAAGCAGGGGAGCUUCGGACCUUGCGCGAUUGAAUGAGCCGAUGUCGGAUUAGCUAGUUGGCGGGGUAAAGGCCCACCAAGGCGACGAUCCGUAGCUGGUCUGAGAGGAUGAUCAGCCACACUGGAACUGAGAAACGGUCCAGACUCCUACGGGAGGCAGCAGUGGGGAAUAUUGGACAAUGGGCGCAAGCCUGAUCCAGCCAUACCGCGUGGGUGAAGAAGGCCUUCGGGUUGUAAAGCCCUUUUGUUGGGAAAGAAAAGCAGCAGGUUAAUACCCCGCUGUUCUGACGGUACCCAAAGAAUAAGCACCGGCUAACUUCGUG
rnacentral:rRNA from 1 species